GUCUCAAGUUUUUGGAUCAAAAUGAAAAUUAUUUCCUCCCAUCUCCUUAACACAUACACAAAAUAACUGAUGUUGUAUCAUUUGUAACCUGUUUGAAGGUUUUAUGUGCAAAUGCGCCUUCUCUAAAUUAAGCACUCUUAGUUGUCUGCAGGAGAAGCCAGGUAGUAUUUCCAUACUUUCUUGUGGCUUUUGUUUGUCUCUGUCUUUCAGAAAGUGAGGAAGCAAAUGCACAUUCCUGCCAAGGCUUCCUGAGCUUCAGGUAAACAGCUGGUUCCAAUUACCCUGCGGGAAUGCCGACCCCGGGAUGGUGCAGAAGUGAAUGUGCCGUAUGAAACCUGCAGCCUUGAUGAAGAAGGGAAAGGAGUGUCCUGCAAAGAUCAUUGACUUCCUGUCUGAAAAAAAUGUGUUUCAGAGCACAGAAACCCCUGGACUGACUCAGGCAGAAUGUAUGCUACACCUCUAUAGACUUCCCCAAUCUAUA